CCCGCACAUUCUUAUUACAUAGAAAAAAAAUAGGAGAGCCCCACACAUUUCAACCAUCAAUCUUCAUGAAAACUAGAGUAGCCCAUGCUCCACAACAAUUCUAUGAACCACAACAAUUCUGGAAGAGUCCCUUUUCUUUGAAGCAUCAUUCUUCUUAAAUCAAACCGUAUAUCCAUUUUUUUUUGCUAUGGAACCGUAUGUCCAUUUUAUUUUUUCUAUUCAACUGUACCAUUUUUGCUAUUGGUUCUCUCUUUGAUCUCCUUCAUAACUAUCUCCAUUUUUUUCUUUGAAGCAUCAUUCUUCUUAAAUCAAGGGCAUGUCCAUUUUUGCUAUUCAACCGUAUGUUCAUUCUUGCUAUUGGUUCUCUCUCUGAUCUCCUUCAUAGCUGCCUCCAUUUUUUUUCUAUUAGAAUCCAAUUUUUUUUUUCAUUUUUUUCUAUUGGAUUCUAUUUUUUUUGUGUGUGUUGGACUCCUACCUCUGUGUUUUUUCUUGUCAUCUAACUCCUUCUCUUCUUUGUAUUGCUGUGACAACAUAAACCGACUCUUCUUUGCAUUGCUAUGGCCACAUAAAUCCAAUGAUGUAUGUGGAGAUUGUUAUCGUCUGGAUAAAUAUAAUAUGGAUAUAUAUCUAUACGGAUAUAUAUUAGAUGAGUAUAUUAGAUGUUCUAGAUAAGUAUGAUAGGUAAAGGGGGACAUCUAAGGUUAGAAAGUAAAUCCUCUGAUCUAGCGUUUAGUAAAGAGGUACUUCCUACAAAAUAGAGGGUUAUUGUAUAUAUGAGAGUAUUGACAGCAUCACU
rnacentral:lncRNA from 1 species